rnacentral:lncRNA from 1 species
GACAUCUACUUCUACUCAUCACUACAGACAGGCUUGAUUCUCCGAUCAUGUGCAGUCUUGGUUCAGUACAUAAAGUUCAGCUGCCGUUCAGCCAUCAAAACAGCAGCAGAGUGAGACGUCUUCCUUUACCUCAUACCAUUGUCAUUACUCAUCAGCGCCCUCCGGUGGCCAUAAACUGUAACUGCAUAUGGAUUAAUGAAGAUUGUGAUGAGACGCUAAGGAGCAGGAGUCAGAGUGACAUUUCUGCAGCUGUUUGAGGACGAACCGUGAAGAGAGGCUGAUUAUGGCGACGGAAAAACAAAAGAUGGACAAUCGAGAAACAAACUAAACUCUGUCUGAACAAACACAGAAUCUCUUUGAUAGUUUUAGAUGGAGAAGAAGAAGAAGAUGGGUUUUAAAGCGCUUUAUUGUGUCUGGAUCAUCUUCUACUCAGGUAAGAAAGAGAAAUCUCCUUUAAAGGACUGAAUCACUCUAAAGUACCAAACUAAACACUGUUUAGCACUAAUGAGCACUUAGUGAGGUUUAAUAACAGUUUUUAAAGGAAUAAUCGGUAAUUCAGUGAUUUCAUAAAAAAACUGGAGCUUAAUAUUAUUUUUUACAGCAUUAAAAAGGAGUUUAAGUCUUUUACUGAUCAGAAAACUG